rnacentral:lncRNA from 1 species
AAGAAGACAAGAGGGAAGCCAAUCACAGCUUGCGCUGAAGAACAGUGUCACAGUCUACCCUAAGUCAUCCUCACUGACUGCCCACAAUCACAACUCCCUCUAUUCAAUACGGUGCUUUACAAUCUCACUUAACUUUCCAAAUUUCGAGGUAUGAAUUGUUAUUCUGUAAUCUUUUUGUAUCUUUUGUGAUUUUGUGUAAAGAGAUUGUUAAUUGGGGGUUCCGGGUUCCUUUGAAAUUUGAAUUGUGGUAGUCUAAUUUGGAACAUCAUCCUGAUUAGAAGUAAAAUUGUCAAAACGAAAUCAAAUAAAGAAGAAGUAAUCCUCAAAAAUUAGAAGUUUAAGUAUACAUGUCAGAAUGGAGCAACAAAAGGAGCCGUAAAAGAUUUACAAGUUUCGUACCGAAACAAUCUCAGACCGUUUUAAAGUGAAGGUUUAGAAUUACACAACAGAGUAGCAUUGAGUUGAUUACUAAUGUAGCCAUUAAUAAUUAUUGAUGUCUUCCUAUACGCAGUCUGUCACCAGGGAAUAGUAUGCCUAAUUGCCUACCAAAAAAAUAUGUAGUUCUGGCCCUUCCGGCAAAGUAUAAUGCCAGAAGGAAACACAGAGCUACUACUUUGUAUAGCUCUUUGGAUCCUAGGAAUUCAUUUUUAAGUUUCAAUAACUCAAUAUUGUUUUUUUUUUCAUAUUAGGAGUAUUCUAUAAUUAAAUAUUUGAGCCCCCCAAAGAUUUUAGUCGUGAUUCCGCCUUUGUACACAGGGACUAGAUUUGUGAUGAUGCCAUUACAUAACACGUAAAAUUCGUCACAUUUACAUUAUAUAAUUGAAAAAAAUAAUAAAAAUUAUAUCAUUAGAAAGUAUAUUUAGUCUAUUUUAAUAUGCAAUUUUCAGAUUUUAAAAAUAAUGAAUAGAUACUUUGUACUAAUCUUUAGUCAAAAAUUGGUCAAUUUGACUUCUUGAAAAUUAAAAUGGACAUGUAAAAGGGGAUGGAGGGAGUACACUUGAUUGUUAAUGUCAAGACAUAUAGACAGCUAGUCCAAUCCAUUCAGUCAAAUUUUUAGGGUUUUGCUGCAGCUUAUGAAAUUCAAGCUGCACAAAAUAUAAAAAUAUUAGGGUCAGUGUUAAUGGCAAGUUACAUAAUAGAUUAAUAGGUAGAAACUAUGAUGCGAUGCAACAUCACUGCUGUACUGAAAUUUGAAAUUGAAGGAGGAAAAGAGAUCAUUUAUACCCAAAAGGUACCUUACUCAAAAUCGUGAAUCCACGAUACUAACCUGCAAAGAAAAGGAAUCAAAUUAGAUCCACUAUGAUAGCAUAAACAGAGUAAAACAAUUGAAUAGUAUGUAAUAAAACCCAUUGAAGAACACCAACCCGAUGGUAGCACCUCCUGAGACCCUCUUUAAAAUUUGAAUUGAAGAAGAAGAAGCGCUGUAUAUGGAAAACAGUUAAUGCACGGUAGAAUCGUGGGUGGUUUGCUGUCAAAUUCAAACUAACUCCGGGUAUAACCCAUUUAAGCCUGGGUUAUACACGAAACAACGUAUAAUCAUAUGAAACUGGGUGCGGGUAAGAUCCGGAUUCAAUGGAUCUACCUGGUUUAUAAGGAAAAAGACAGCUUUGUCCUUAAAUUGUGGGCUGCUGUUAAAAAGAAAAAGGGUAUAUCUUGUCUUUUGUCAAAUCCUUUGUAUUCAGGAAUUAGGAUUAUAUAGAUAUAGAUAUAGAUUAACUAAAUACAGGAAACGUUUUUAAAGCUCCACUUUAACCGUACGGGUUAACGUGUAACCUAGUUCUAUAUGAAUUCUUAUUACUGUGUAACUAUUAUAAUUCUUUUCAACAAAACGAGGCCCAAGAAAACAUCAACAGCAGGAGUGGGAGCUUAAAUAACCCACCCCCAAUUGCUUGUAUAUAUCUGUACGCUAAGAAAGGUAUGUUUCGAGGAUUAGGUCUUUUCACUUUUCUCAUUUUAUCAGCUCAGAUUUGCCUUGUUUUCUUCAUUUUUGGCCUUUUAAUUCAUUGAUUUUACUUCAGUUGCUGCUUAAGUUCCCCUAUUUUUCCUAGAUUUGGAGCCCAAAGACCCCUAAUUUUGUUUUUUUUAUAUGAAUAUGUAUUGUAUGUUGUAUCUACCGGUUCUUUGUCAUGUAUUUACUUGUGGGGAGGAGUCUGUAUCGAUUUCGAUUUAUAUGAAUUGGGUUUGCUUUGAAUCGACUGUUUUAUUGGAAUUCUAGUAAAAUUUGUAUUUUAUUGUUAUUAUUGUAAAUUUGAUAAUUCAAUGUGUGGUCUGUGCUUUUCACCCUCUUGAUAAUUGAAUUACUGAAUGGAUGGGAAAGAUGGUCUAAUUACGAUCUGUAGUAUAUUUAGUAGUUGUACUCGUUCUACAGAUUUGUGUAAUUGUGUUGGAUAUGGCUUCCCUACAGUCCAGCUCGUUCUCUUCAACUUCUGUCCUAACUUCAGAAGUUGCUGAAGUCGUCUAUCAUAUGCACUUUCGCACCAUCGUUGAGUGCACAUUUCUUUUGAUGAUUCCAAUAUAAAUACCCCUUGUGUAUAUGCUCUUGGCAUCAUAAGUUUUGUUUAUAUUUCAAUAUUUUGUAUACUUGUAUAGACUACUUUCAAAAUCUUGUGCUUCUAUGUAGGAAACUACAUAAGCAAAUUCAUUUGCACUUUGUUGGUUGUUUCUCUCAUAGUCUCAUUCAUAAAUCAUACUCCCUUCGUCCGAACCAUUUCUUUACACUUUCCUUUUUGGGGUGUCCCAUUCAAUUCUUUACAUUUCAAAACUUACCAAAAAUAGUCAAUGGGUCCCACCACUUAUCCAUUUUUUUUCCCUUUUCACACUACUUUUACUCCACUAUCUUCUUUUUAUACAUUAAAAAUCAAUGGGUCCCACCACUUCACCCACUUUUCUUUCUCUUUUCCACUACUUUAUACAUAUUUCUUCCUAAUACAAGUCCUUCCUAAUAACAAUAACAAUACAUAAGAAAAACAACAAUACAGAUCUUCCUUGAUCAGCGGUUAACUAGUCUUCAUUCUGUGAAGCUACCCUCUCGAUAACAGCGGUUAGCCGUUCCACGGCAUUAUCGAUCGCAUCCUUGGUUUUUUCGUUGAUCUCAUCCUUCAUCGCAACCAGCUCCUUUUGAAGGCAGUAUUCCACUUGCAAUUUCAGCUCCUUGGUUUCUUCCUGCAAUUUUUUAACAUAUUUUUUCAGCCUACCCAGAUCUUGGUAUAGCACUAGAUUGUGUACUAUUAAGAACAUGCAUAAAACUGAUACAAGUCCCGGCGAUUUUUUAGCUACUUCUUCUAGGCGUGAACAGUUUGCAUCUGAUAACUGAGAAGAAGAAGAAGAAGAAGACAUUAUCAAGGAAGACGAAAUUGAUUCUGUGUUACCUUUCGAAAAACUAGCUCAGUUAUAAAUAGAUAUACAGCUUUUCCGGCCAUCAUCGACAACAAGACUGUGUCCAUCUCGCACCGUCCCGUCCCCUCAAUCAAUUGAUUCUCUGCUAGUUAUACAAUUGAUUCUCUGCACAUAUUCUCUGCUAGUUCGACCCCUUCUCCUCUCCUCUCCUCUCCUCCUUGACUACCGAAUACUCUGUCUUUUUAGAAUUAAAAGAUUUACUUUUGUAAAUCUUUGUUCCCGUGUUCAUGUGACGUUUGACUUAAUUUAAAAGAAAUUACUUCUGGCUUAAAGUGUAAAAGUAGAUUAAAAGUCAGAAGUAAUGUGUAUUUAUAAGUCAGUAAAAGUAACACAAGUUUUUUUUUUGUUGCUAAAUAGUAACACAAGUUAUUAUAAUCACCUAGACUCAGACGCUCACAGAACGCGAUCAUAAGCUUUCUUAAUGGUUGAUCACGGUUCAUAGUGAAGGAGAAAUCAGCCAUUCCUUCUUUUUGCACCUUGAUUGUUACCUUCUCAUCGUCUUCUGUCUUGAUCACAUGACCUCCACCUAGAUCACCACCACCAUUACUUGCAUCAUUGGCUCUUUCCAUUACUUCUUCACUCUUCUUCUACAGCUCUUAUGUCACUCUAUAUAAUAACAGAGGUCUGCUAUUUUUCACAAGACUCUUUUUACCCAUGAAAAAGCUAUGAAUUCCAGCAGAUAAUUAUCUUUUUUACUAUGGACAGGGUCAGAAUUGUAACUGGCAUACUCCAUGAACAAAAUAAAAAGAUAAUGGUACUGUUGAUGACAAGAAUCCAGACAAAUGUGUCCAUCUGAUAAGUAAUGUGUACUUAUAAGUCAGUAAAAGUGCGUAUAAAUUACGAAAAACAAGACGGAAGUUAUGGGAAAAGCUGAAUCUUAUUAAAUCUUUGUCUGCGUAACUUUGCCCUCCCCCAUCAGAUAAAUUUAUUUUAUAAUUCUACUAGUUGAAAAGCCGCGCUUUGCGGCGGCCUAUAAAAAUCAUAUUAACGAUUCAAAAUUAGUAUUUGUAAGAUAAAAUAAAUGUGUGGCAGUUUAUAAAAAUUAUAUUAAUUAUUCAAAAUUAAUGUUUGCAGAAUAAAAUAAAUUUUAUAUUAUAAACAUCUCGAUACAAUACCAAUUUUAUAUAGAUACAAUACCAAUAUUAAUAUAUAAAAUUACAAAAUUGGACUAUAAUUCAUGAGUGAAAAAAUGAAAAUAAAUUUCUACACAUAAUUAACGAUUUAAAGUAUGACGAAUCUUAAUUUUAAUUGUGUGUUUUUUUAAAGUAAUCAUGUUUUUCAUAAUUUGAUGGAUCACAAACAUCAUAUAAUUAAAUAAAUAAAUUUUAAAUGAAAUAAAUUUUAAAUGAAAAAAGAUUCAAUAAAUGAUAUUUAUUUAUUAUUUCUUUUUAGUAAUAAUAUUAAAUAAAAUAUUACAUCUAAUUAAUGAUCCAAUCUAUAAUUUUUAAAUAUCAUAAAUGUUUUGAUUAAAAUAAUAUUUAAAUAAAUUGAUCUAAUAUAAAAUUAUGAAUUAAAAAAUAAAAUUUUAAAAUUUUAUAACUAUUUAUAACUGAGCUAAAUACAAGUCCUCCUUGUUUGUGUUUAAAAAAUUAUACAGCAUAUCUAAUAUAAAAAUUUUUUAAAUAUAAAAUUAUGAAUUAAAAAAUAAAAUUUUAAAAUUUUAUUUUUAAAUUUUUUAAAUUUUAUAAACGGAAAAGCUGUAUAUCUAUUUAUAACUGAGCUAGUUUUUCGAAAGGUAACACAGAAUCAAUUUCGUCUUCCUUGAUAAUGUCUUCUUCUUCUUCUUCUUCUCAGUUAUCAGAUGCAAACUGUUCACGCCUAGAAGAAGUAGCUAAAAAAUCGCCGGGACUUGUAUCAGUUUUAUGCAUGUUCUUAAUAGUACACAAUCUAGUGCUAUACCAAGAUCUGGGUAGGCUGAAAAAAUAUGUUAAAAAAUUGCAGGAAGAAACCAAGGAGCUGAAAUUGCAAGUGGAAUACUGCCUUCAAAAGGAGCUGGUUGCGAUGAAGGAUGAGAUCAACGAAAAAACCAAGGAUGCGAUCGAUAAUGCCGUGGAACGGCUAACCGCUGUUAUCGAGAGGGUAGCUUCACAGAAUGAAGACUAGUUAACCGCUGAUCAAGGAAGAUCUGUAUUGUUGUUUUUCUUAUGUAUUGUUAUUGUUAUUAGGAAGGACUUGUAUUAGGAAGAAAUAUGUAUAAAGUAGUGGAAAAGAGAAAGAAAAGUGGGUGAAGUGGUGGGACCCAUUGAUUUUUAAUGUAUAAAAAGAAGAUAGUGGAGUAAAAGUAGUGUGAAAAGGGAAAAAAAAUGGAUAAGUGGUGGGACCCAUUGACUAUUUUUGGUAAGUUUUGAAAUGUAAAGAAUUGAAUGGGACACCCCAAAAAGGAAAGUGUAAAGAAAUGGUUCGGACGAAGGGAGUAUGAUUUAUGAAUGAGACUAUGAGAGAAACAACCAACAAAGUGCAAAUGAAUUUGCUUAUGUAGUUUCCUACAUAGAAGCAC